GACGAACGCUGGCCGCGUGCUUAACACAUGCAAGUCGAACGGUAAGGCCCUUCGGGGUACACGAGUGGCGAACGGGUGAGUAACACGUGGGUGAUCUGCCCUGCACUUCGGGAUAAGCCUGGGAAACUGGGUCUAAUACCGGAUAGGACUCCGGACUGCAUGGUCUGGGGUGGAAAGCUUUUGCGGUGUGGGAUGGGCCCGCGGCCUAUCAGCUUGUUGGUGGGGUGAUGGCCUACCAAGGCGACGACGGGUAGCCGGCCUGUGAGGGUGACCGGCCACACUGUGACUGAGAUACGGCCCAGACUCCUACGGGAGGCAGCAGUGGAGAAUAUUGCACAAUGGGCGCAAGCCUGAUGCAGCGACGCCGCGUGAGGGAUGACGGCCUUCGGGUUGUAAACCUCUUUCAGCAUCGACGAAGCGAAAGUGACGGUAGGUGCAGAAGAAGGACCGGCCAACUACGUGCCAGCCGCCGCCGUAA
rnacentral:rRNA from 1 species